rnacentral:rRNA from 1 species
UACGGAGGACCCAAGCGUUAUUCGGAUUUAUUGGGUUUAAAGGGUGCGUAGGCGGGAUAGUAAGUCAGAGGUGAAAUCCCACAGCUUAACUGUGGAACUGCCUUUGAUACUGCUAACCUUGAGUACAGAUGAUGUGGGCGGAAUAUGACAUGUAGCGGUGAAAUGCUUAGAUAUGUCAUAGAACACCGAUUGCGAAGGCAGCUCACAAAACUGUAACUGACGCUGAGGCACGAAAGCAUGGGGAUCAAACAGG